rnacentral:rRNA from 1 species
AGAGUUUGAUCCUGGCUCAGAACGAACGCUGGCGGCAGGCUUAACACAUGCAAGUCGAGCGCCCCGCAAGGGGAGCGGCAGACGGGUGAGUAACGCGUGGGAAACUACCCUUUGGUACGGAACAACUCCGGGAAACUGGAGCUAAUACCGUAUGUGCCCUUCGGGGGAAAGAUUUAUCGCCAUAGGAUGUGCCCGCGUAGGAUUAGCUAGUUGGCGGGGUAAUGGCCCACCAAGGCGACGAUCCUUAGCUGGUCUGAGAGGAUGAUCAGCCACACUGGGACUGAGACACGGCCCAGACUCCUACGGGAGGCAGCAGUGGGGAAUAUUGGACGAAUGGGCGCAAGCCUGAUCCAGCCAUGCCGCGUGAGUAAGGAAGGCCUUAGGGUUGUAAAGCUCUUUCGCACGCGACGA